AUUGAACGCUGGCGGCAGGCCUAACACAUGCAAGUCGAACGAGUGGCGGAAGGGUGAGUAAUGUCUGGAAAACUGCCUGCUGGAGGGGGAUAACUAAUGGAAACGGUAGCUAAUACCGCAUACCACCAUUUGUUCCCAGAUGGGCUUAGCUUGUUGGUGGGGUAACGACUAACCAAGGAGACGAUCCCUAGCGGGUCGGAGAGGAUGACCAGCCACACUGGAACUGAGACACGGUCCAGACUCCUACGGGAGGAAGCAGUGGGGAAUAUUGCACAAUGGGCGCAAGCCUGAUGCAGCAAUGGCGCGUGUAUGAAGAAGGCCUUCGGGUUGUAAAGUACUUUCAGCGGGGAGGCGUUACCCGCAGAAGAAGCACCGGCUAACUCCGUGCCAGCAGCCGCGGUAAUUC
rnacentral:rRNA from 1 species